AUGAACGCUGGCGGCGUGCUUAACACCUGCAAGUCGAACGGAAAGGCCCAAGCUUGCUUGGGUACUCGAGUGGCGAACGGGUGAGUAACACGUGGGUGAUCUGCUCUGCACUUCGGGAUAAGCCUGGGUAACUGGGUCUAAUACUGGCUAGGACCACUUCUUGGAUGGUGUGGUGGAAAGUUUUUUCGGUGUGGGAUGAGCUCGCGGCCUAUCAGCUUGUUGGUGGGUUAAUGGCCUACCAAGGCGUCGACGGGUAGCCGGCCUGAGAGGGUGUACGGCCGCAAUAGGGCGUAACUGCGGCCCAGACUCCUACAGGAGGCAGCACGGGGGAAUAUUGGACAAUGGGUGCAAGCCUGAUGCAGCGAAGCCGCGUGAGGGAAGAGUGGCUUUGUGUUGUAAACUCCUUUCGCUAGGGACGAAGCGUUUUUGUGACGGUACCUGGAGAAGAAGCACCGGCUAACUACGUG
rnacentral:rRNA from 1 species